rnacentral:rRNA from 1 species
GGACCCUACUGCUAUCGGGGUGGGACUAAGACAUGCGAGUCGUGCGUCUCUAAGCUAUGGUAGAGACGCGGCGUACGGCUCAGUAACACAUGGCUAACCUACCCUUAGGACGGGGACAACCCCGGGAAACUGGGGCUAACAUCUGAUAGGUGAGGAGGCCUGGAAUGGUUCCUCCCUGAAAAGGCGUUGAAACCAUGCUUUUCAGCGUCGCCUAAGGAUGGGGCCGCGUCCGAUCAGGUUGUUGGUGGGGUAACGGCUCACCAAGCCAUUAACCGGUACGGGCCGUGAGAGCGGGAGCCCGGAGAUGGGCACUGAGACAAGGGCCCAGGCCCUACGGGGCGCAGCAGUCGCGAAAACUCCGCAAUGCGCGAAAGCGUGACGGGGCUACCCCGAGUGCCGUCCGCUGAGGAUGGUUUUUCCCCGGUGUAAUGAGCCGGGGGAAUAAGGAGAGGGCAAGACUGGUGUCAGCCGCCGCGGUAAUACCAGCUCUCCGAGUGGUAGGGACAAUUAUUGGGCUUAAAGCGUCCGUAGCCGGCUUGGCAAGUCUCCUGUUAAAUUCAGCGACUUAAUCGUUGAGCCGCGGGAGAUACUAUUAGGCUAGGAGGCGGGAGAGGCCGACGGUAUUCCCGGGGUAGGGGUGAAAUCCUAUAAUCCCGGGAGGACCACCAGUGGCGAAGGCUGUCGGCUAGAACGCGCUCGACGGUGAGGGACGAAAGCUGGGGGAGCGAACCGGAUUAGAUACCCGGGUAGUCCCAGCCGUAAACGAUGCGGGCUAGGUGUUGAGGUGGCUACGAGCCACUUCAGUGCCGCAGGGAAGCCAUUAAGCCCGCCGCCUGGGGAGUACGGCCGCAAGGCUGAAACUUAA